rnacentral:rRNA from 1 species
AUUGAACGCUGGCGGCAUGCCUUACACAUGCAAGUCGAACGGCAGCACGGGUGCUUGUACCUGGUGGCGAGUGGCGAACGGGUGAGUAAUACAUCGGAACGUGUCCUGUAGUGGGGGAUAGCCCGGCGAAAGCCGGAUUAAUACCGCAUACGAUCUACGGAUGAAAGCGGGGGACCUUCGGGCCUCGCGCUAUAGGGUUGGCCGAUGGCUGAUUAGCUAGUUGGUGGGGUAAAGGCCUACCAAGGCGACGAUCAGUAGCUGGUCUGAGAGGACGACCAGCCACACUGGGACUGAGACACGGCCCAGACUCCUACGGGAGGCAGCAGUGGGGAAUUUUGGACAAUGGGCGAAAGCCUGAUCCAGCAAUGCCGCGUGUGUGAAGAAGGCCUUCGGGUUGUAAAGCACUUUUGUCCGGAAAGAAAUCCUUGGCCCUAAUACGGUCGGGGGAUGACGGUACCGGAAGAAUAAGCACCGGCUAACUACGUG